GACGAACGCUGGCGGCGUGCUUAACACAUGCAAGUCGAACGGAAAGGCCUUUUCGGAGUUACUCGAGUGGCGAACGGGUGAGUAACACGUGGGUGAUCUGCCCUGCACUCUGUGAUAAGCCUGGUAAACUGGGUCUAAUACCGGAUAGGACCGCACUUUAGUGUGUGUGGGGGAAAGUGUUUUCGGUGUAGGAUGAGCCCGCGGCCUAUCAGCUUGUUGGUGGGGUAAUGGCCUACCAAGGCGGCGACGGGUAGCCGGACUGAGAGGUUGGUCGGGCACAGUGGGAAUGAGAUACGGCCCAGAACCCCAACGGAGGGAGCAGUGGGGAAUAUUGACAAAUGGGCGGAAGCCUGAUGCAGCGACGCCGCGGGGGGGAUGACGGGCUUCGGGUUGUAAAACCGUUUCGCCAGGGACGAAGCGUUGUGUGACGGUACCUGGAGAAGAAGCACCGGCUAACUACGUG
rnacentral:rRNA from 1 species